rnacentral:lncRNA from 1 species
CAACUUUAUAUCUGUAAGCUCUGCCUCAAUAUCUGUGUGGAGAAGAGUGACGACAGACUGACACAGGCAGCCAAGGUGUUGGAGCAACUCACAGGCCAGACCCCUGUGUUUUCCAAAACUAGAUGCACUGUCAGAUCUUUUGUUUUCAGGAGAAAUGAAAAGAUUACUGUUGACUGCACAGUUCCAGGGGCCAAGGCAGAAGAAAUCCUGGAGAAAGGUCCAAAGGUAUGGGAGUAUGAAUUAUUUUUUCUUAACUUCUCAGAUACUGGAAACUUUGGUUUCCAGGAACACAAGAAUCUGGGUAUCAAAUAUGAA